GAAGUCACUACAGAGCUGUGAGACUGAAAACAAGUAUAUUGUAGUUUUCUUAGCAGAAGCUCAGCUAAAUAAAAUUCAGGAGUCAGAGAAGGAGAAUAUUCCCAGACAAGGGAUUCCAGCAAUGCAGGAACAAUGGAACUAAAGUCUUCUCUAGACAGGAACCAGAAUAAACAGUAUAGCCAACUGCAAGCUGGAGCUCACUAGACAGGUCCUGGCCGGGAUCCAGCUGCGGGCACCAUAGGGAUCUAUGUCUCGAGCUGAAGCACCCAGUGCUUCCUGCUCCGUGGACAGUGAGGCUGGCGACGCGCAAGCGGUGUAUCGCCAUAGCAACAUGACGUCAGGAGCGGAAGCGGAAAGGAGCGUGAAGGCCGUGAACGGGAACCAUGUGUGCGGCGGCGGUGAUCGGCGUGGACCUUCACAGAUCCAAAACCCGCAAGAGUGAUUUUGGCAAAACCAAUACAGAUCCAAAACACGAAGGAGAUAGAGAUCCAAAGCCAAAACCCAAGAUCCAAGAUUUGGGCCAGCGCACAUCUCAAGUUUAAUAUGAACCUUGACCAGCGCACAGAAGGGCGCAUGCUCUUCCUGGCUGUGAAUUUCAGCUUCAGUGGCUACAUUUCCAGUCUAUGACUUUCCCUCCUGCACAUGCUCCUGUCUCUGAGCUUGCACUGUGCCCUGUAUGAAGCAGUUUCCAGAUCCGUAAUGAUGCAGAAUGAGGCCUGUUACAGAGAAAGUGUCUCCAGGAAGGAGUGGAAUCAGAUACCUAUGCUUAGACCUGAAAGAAACCAGUCAUUUGGAAAGUUUUAUUAUAAAGGGCACUGGACAUGUUUGAUAUCCCUGUAAGGGGUUUAUGUAUCAAGUAGUGAAAAGAGUGGAGAAGU